UACGUAGGGUGCGAGCGUUGUCCGGAAUCAUUGGGCAUAAAGAGCGUGUAGGCGGCCCGAUAAGUCCGCCGUGAAAGUCCAGGGCUCAACCCUGGAAUGCCGGUGGAAACUGUCGGGCUGGAGUCCGGAAGAGGCGAGUGGAAUUCCUGGUGUAGCGGUGAAAUGCGCAGAUAUCAGGAGGAACACCAAUGGCGAAGGCAGCUCGCUGGGACGGUACUGACGCUGAGACGCGAAAGCGUGGGGAGCAAACAGG
rnacentral:rRNA from 1 species